GUGCGCAAGGGCAGUGACAAGAAGUAACCCAGCAGAAAGAAACCAGGGGGAAGGAACAGUGACAACCAAGGGGGAAGGGACAGUGACUCAUCUCCUCCACCUCCUCUGGGACUUACUGUUUCUCAACACUUUGAAAAGCAGAAAGUCUGCAGACCGUUAAAACCACAGCGAUGCCCAGUCCCAACCAAAGAAGGGAAAGACGGACAGUAAGUGGGGUAACAGCAUCUGCCCUCUGAAUGACGGGAACAGAAGGAAAGAGCGAGACACGCUUCCGCGGCCACGGGACCAAUACCACUAUCCAACUUCGAGUACUUUGCAUAGCAACGCACGAUGGACUCACACACCACUGUUCAGACCUCUUACGCCUCAGCUCACACAGGGUGAGUCUCUGUGUGUACGCAGAUGUCCCUCCCUCCUGAACUGCUCCUCCACCGACCUCGCAUGUUGGUUCAUGAACUCUUCCACCUCGAAGCUCUGCGCCCACAGCCUGUCACCGCCUGUUCCCUUGUGUGCUGGAGCUGGUGGGACUCAGAGAGCCUGCUCCGCCAGCGACUCCUCAUCCUGUUCUGGUCACCAGGGGCUGAAGGAGGCCCUGGGAUCUCACCUCCACGAGCGGAGUCUGACUGGGCUGCCCUGGGCGCUGACUGGGCUCCACCUUCACCAAACCAGGUAGGACACAGAGCGCUUCCCCACCCGACAACGCAUCAGCUGAGACAGAGCUCCCCGAUCAUCCGAAAGUGGCCUGGAGCCGCCUGCAUAGGCUUCGUAAGGAUGCAACAACCAUAUUCAUCCUUAGUGCUUCAGCCCAAAGACGCACAAGAAAUUAUGUCUCAUCUUAGCAAUGAAAAUCCAAUUAUCCUUAGUUCCCAACAGAGCCAGCUCUACCUGGAGUCUCAGGGGAGAGGGGACGGAAGCCAUCAGGGCCAGUUUGGCUUCUGGAGAACACGACAGUGGACGAGGAGACCAUGCAACGCAGACCACCACGACGGACGUGCCGGGAUGCAAGCUGAGCGGGUCGGGGUCCACCCCAGCCGCAGCCUGGGUCGGGGAAACCUCCUGGUGUGCAUAGCACAACUGGUCACUGGUGUGGACACUUUAAAUGUCCUAAAUGCAGCCUGUUUUUAUAACUAAAAUUGACUAUAAGGUUCGCCUCAGCAUCGCCAGAGAAGUCCUGAGCUGCCUCAUCUUCCUGUAGAGAUGAAGCCCCUUCCCUGCUCCCAGCAGUUUAGGGGACAUGGGCAGGAAACCACGGUCGUGUUGGGAUACACGCCUGUCCCACCUGGGAUCUCUGCUCUGGGCCCACCAGCCUCUGCCCUUGUCCUGCCUGGGGCCGCUCGGCUUCCUGCCUUCCUCUCUCCACCUCAGCCUACUCCACUGCCCAGCCUUGCCUAUUCCUGUUGCUGUUGCCCAAAGCCUCCAGGUCUGGCGGGCCCUGCUGUCACAGGGUGAGCUUCUGGCCACUCUGUGGGACAGCCAGGCCUUCCUA